GAGUUUGAUCGUGGCUCAGAUUGAACGCUGGCGGCAUGCCUUACACAUGCAAGUCGAACGGCAGCAUGAUCUAGCUUGCUAGAUUGAUGGCGAGUGGCGAACGGGUGAGUAAUACAUCGGAACGUGCCCUGUAGUGGGGGAUAACUAGUCGAAAGAUUAGCUAAUACCGCAUACGACCUGAGGGUGAAAGUGGGGGACCGCAAGGCCUCAUGCUAUAGGAGCGGCCGAUGUCUGAUUAGCUAGUUGGUGGGGUAAAGGCCCACCAAGGCGACGAUCAGUAGCUGGUCUGAGAGGACGAUCAGCCACACUGGGACUGAGACACGGCCCAGACUCCUACGGGAGGCAGCAGUGGGGAAUUUUGGACAAUGGGCGAAAGCCUGAUCCAGCAAUGCCGCGUGUGUGAAGAAGGCCUCGGUUGUAAGUCGACUCUUGUCCGGUAAGAAA
rnacentral:rRNA from 1 species